CCAGACUCCUACGGGAGGCAGCAGUGGGGAAUAUUGCACAAUGGGGGGAACCCUGAUGCAGCGACGCCGCGUGAGUGAAGAAGUAUUUCGGUAUGUAAAGCUCUAUCAGCAGGGAAGAAAAACCGACCAUAGGGUCGCUAGACGGUACCUGAUUAAGAAGCCCCGGCUAACUACGUGCCAGCAGCCGCGGUAAUACGUAGGGGGCAAGCGUUAUCCGGAUUUACUGGGUGUAGAGGGAGCGUAGACGGCAGCGCAAGUCUGAAGUGAAAUGCCGGGGCUUAACCCCGGAACUGCUUUGGAAACUGUGUAACUGGAGUACAGGAGGGGCAGGCGGAAUUCCUGGUGUAGCGGUGAAAUGCGUAGAUAUCAGGAGGAACACCGGCGGCGAAGGCGGCCUGCUGGACUGAAACUGACGUUGAGGCUCGAAAGCGUGGGGAGCAAACAGGAUUAGAUACCCGCGUA
rnacentral:rRNA from 1 species